UACGAGGGGGGCAAGCGUUGUUCGGAAUUAUUGGGCGUAAAGGGUGCGUAGGUGGUUCGGCAAGUCUUGUGUGAAAUCUUCAGGCUCAACUUGAAGUCUGCACAAGAAACUGCCGGGCUUGAGUAUGGGAGAGGUGAGUGGAAUUUCCGGUGUAGCGGUGAAAUGCGUAGAUAUCGGAAGGAACACCUGUGGCGAAAGCGGCUCACUGGACCAUUACUGUCACUGAGGCACGAAAGCUAGGGGAGCAAACAGGGAUUAGAUACCCUGGUAGUCCUAGCCCUAAACGAUGAUCGCUUGGUGUGGCGGGUAUCCAACCCUGCCGGGCCGAAGCUAACGCGUUAAGCGAUCCGCCUGGGGAGUACGGUCGCAAGGCUGAAACUC
rnacentral:rRNA from 1 species